GAGUUUGAUCCCUGGCUCAGAUUGAACGCUGGCGGCAGGCCUAACACAUGCAAGUCGAGCGGCAGCGGGAAAGUAGCUUGCUACUUUUGCCGGCGAGCGGCGGACGGGUGAGUAAUGCCUGGGGAUCUGCCCAGUCGAGGGGGAUAACAGUUGGAAACGACUGCUAAUACCGCAUACGCCCUACGGGGGAAAGGAGGGGACCUUCGGGCCUUUCGCGAUUGGAUGAACCCAGGUGGGAUUAGCUAGUUGGUGGGGUAAUGGCUCACCAAGGCGACGAUCCCUAGCUGGUCUGAGAGGAUGAUCAGCCACACUGGAACUGAGACACGGUCCAGACUCCUACGGGAGGCAGCAGUGGGGAAUAUUGCACAAUGGGGGAAACCCUGAUGCAGCCAUGCCGCGUGUGUGAAGAAGGCCUUCGGGUUGUAAAGCACUUUCAGCGAGGAGGAAAGGUUGGCGCCUAAUACGUGUCAACUGUGACGUACUCGCAGAAGAAGCACCGGCA
rnacentral:rRNA from 1 species